CUACGGGGGGCUGCAGGCGCGGAACCUUUACAAUGCACGCAAGUGUGAUAAGGGAACCCUAAGUGCUAUAGUUUUACUAUGGCUUUUGUUAAAAGUAAAUACUUUGACGAAUAAGCGGUGGGUAAGACUGGUGCCAGCCGCCGCGGUAACACCAGCGCCGCAAGUGGCAACCGCGUUUAUUGGGCCUAAAGCGUUCGUAGCCGGUUAGAUAAAUCUUUUGUGAAAUUGUAAGGCUUAACCUUACAACGUGCAGAAGACACUGUUUAACUAGAGACCGGGAGGAGUCAGAGGUAUUCUGGGGGGAGCGGUAAAAUGCGAUAAUCCCUAGAGGACCACCUGUGGCGAAGGCGUCUGACCAGAACGGAUCUGACGGUGAGGAACGAAAGCUAGGGGAGCGAUCCGGAUUAGAUACCCGCGUAGUC
rnacentral:rRNA from 1 species